GGGGGUUGGCCGGAUCCUUGCCUGUGUCCCCAGCGCCCUGUGCUCCGGGGCCUGCACUGUUGGAUUCGUGCUCCCGGCCGCGCAGCCCCCU
rnacentral:pre_miRNA from 1 species